GGCCCGUUGGUCAAGUGGUUAAGACACCGCCCUUUCACGGCGGUAACACGGGUUCGAAUCCCGUACGGGUCA
rfam:Gracilibacillus kekensis strain CGMCC 1.10681 genome assembly, contig: Ga0079828_105